ACUCACGACGCAGUUUGGGUCAUCGUUGAGCUAUUCACUGAUUGCGAGACCUCGGGGUUCGUCGAAUGAAUGAUACGAUACAGGAACGAACGUAACGGCAUUGCUGACUCGCUUAGCAACUAUUUCUCACGCGAUGGACGGUAUUACUGACGACGUAAUCGUCAGCAAACGCAUUUCCUGCAUUUGUUUGUUAGGGAACUGCGGAACAUCGGCCUGGAGAUUAAAUAGAUUUGGACACGAGUAUGAUAUUAUAAAUAUAGAGUAUAAUAGUUGUUGCGAUGGUUCUCUCACGAGUGCAAUUAAAUUCGGAAACGAAACGUGGACAAAAGUUCUGGGAUCCUCGAAACGAAACGUAUGAAUUCCUCGAAUGAUAUGCUUCCUAUUUGAGUGAAGACCAUUUCUUGAAGCACCUAAUUAUUGGAAAAAUAAAAUUAUUGGAAAUGCUACGAGAUUAUUACCGAAAAUAGAAAAUGCCCAGGCAGCACGAGCCUCGUCGUCGGCAUUUUCAGAGAAAGCUGAGCACAGGUCCAAAACGUCUUCGAGGGACAGGUGUCGAUCAUUUUUGGAGGAGAAAACUCGAUAUAUCGAGUCGCGAAAUGGACUGCACUGAAAGCAAUUCCAUAAUCACUACUCGCUGCUUACUACGAGUGGCGAGUAAAAAUAAUAAUGAAAAUGUUCGUUGAACGUAACAAUUAAAACGAUACUCGACUUACUCGAAUUUCUGGGAACACCGUCUCGAUUUGGUCUGUAGAGAAACGAUGUUGAAGAUCCUCGCGAAGUAUCCCUGGCUCUAUGUUAUCGAGCAGCUUGGCAAUACUGAAAAAACAAUGAGCUUUGAAGAUAAAAUAGAUGAGAAUUAAUUGAAUUAUUAUUAAGUUGUAUUCGAAGGAGUGUUUGGAAUUGUUUAAUUGUAUCGCUCACUAUUGUAUCUGGUUUUUCGUCAAGUAUGUCAAUUCAGCAUAAGUCUGAACCGAUUCCUCGUUAAGAAUAUUGUUUUUCGACCACACGUUUCCCAUGGCGAUGCACAAACAAUCAACUGUCAAACGCGAGGAUAUCAAUGUAAUUAUCAAUGUAACGAUAACUGUUAUCUCUCUUGGAGAGAAUCUCGUAUAUCAUCAUCCUAAUUCUAUUUUACUGAUAAACGUCAUUCGAGUAUCAAUUCCCUUUCGAACGAUCUUGCAUAUGACUAAUUUAAAUAGAAAAUCUCAGUUAACGUCCAAGAUCAAUUUCUUUUUUUAUUUCUGACUUUCAUUGAUUUCUAUUAUCCUGUUUCUUGGUUACACCUUAUUUUGUACAGAAUUGCAGUAGUGUAGUAGCGUGGAAACAAAUAUAUUUACAUUGGUUGCAUCUGAUUUUACAUGGA